rnacentral:rRNA from 1 species
GAAUCCAGGCCCUACGGGGUGCAGCAGGCGCGAAAACUUUACAAUGCUGGCAACAGCGAUAAGGGAACCUCGAGUGCCAGGUUACAAAUCUGGCUGUCGAGAUGCCUAAAAAGCAUUUCAUAGCAAGGGCCGGGCAAGACCGGUGCCAGCCGCCGCGGUAACACCGGCGGCUCGAGUGGUAACCGUUAUUAUUGGGUCUAAAGGGUCUGUAGCCGGCCGGAUAAGUCUCUUGAGAAAUCUGGCAGCUUAACUGUCAGGCUUUCAGGAGAUACUGUCUGGCUCGAGGCCGGGAGAGGUGAGAGGUACUUCAGGGGUAGGGGUGAAAUCUUGUAAUCCUUGAAGGACCACCAGUGGCGAAGGCGUCUCACCAGAACGGACCUGACGGCAAGGGACGAAAGCUAGGGGCACGAACCGGAUUAGAUACCCGGGUAGUCCUAGCCGUAAACGAUACUCGCUAGGUGUCGGCCACGGUGCGACCGUUGUCGGUGCCGUGGGGAAGCCGUGAAGCGAGCCACCUGGGAAGUACGGCCGCAAGGCUGAAACUUAAAGGAAUUGGCGGGGGAGCACCACAACGGGUGGAGCUUGCGGUUUAAUUGGAUU